AGAGUUUGAUCCUGGCUCAGAUUGAACGCUGGCGGCAGGCCUAACACAUGCAAGUCGAACGGUAACAGGAAGAAGCUUGCUUCUUUGCUGACGAGUGGCGGACGGGUGAGUAAUGUCUGGGAAACUGCCUGAUGGAGGGGGAUAACUACUGGAAACGGUAGCUAAUACCGCAUAACGUCGCAAGACCAAGGAGGGGGACCUUCGGGCCUCUUGCCAUCGGAUGUGCCCAGAUGGGAUUAGCUAGUAGGUGGGGUAACGGCUCACCUAGGCGACGAUCCCUAGCUGGUCUGAGAGGAUGACCAGCCACACUGGAACUGAGACACGGUCCAGACUCCUACGGGAGGCAGCAGUGGGGAAUAUUGCACAAUGGGCGCAAGCCUGAUGCAGCCAUGCCGCGUGUAUGAAGAAGGCCUUCGGGUUGUAAAGUACUUUCAGCGGGGAGGAAGGGAGUAAAGUUAAUACCUUUGCUCAUUGACGUUACCCGCAGAAGAAGCACCGGCUAACUCCGUGCCAGCAGCCGCGGUAAUACGGAGGGUGCAAGCGUUAAUCGGAAUUACUGGGCGUAAAGCGCACGCAGGCGGUUUGUUAAGUCAGAUGUGAAAUCCCCGGGCUCAACCUGGGAAACUGCAUCUGAUACUGGCAGCUUGAGUCUCGUAGAGGGGGUAGAAUUUCAAGUGUAGCGGUGAAAUGGCGUANGAUCUGAGAUACCGGUGGCGAAGCCGNCCCCUGGACGAANCUGACGCUCAGUGCGAAGNNGGGNANCAACANGAUUAGAUACCUGGUAGUCCACGCCCGUAACGAUGUCGACUUGGAGUGUGCCCUGGAGGCNNGGCUUCGNNUACCGGUAAGUCGACCGCCUGG
rnacentral:rRNA from 1 species